rnacentral:lncRNA from 1 species
CUCUCUACCGAGAAAAUUUUUGAAUUAGAUUUUUUGAGUAAAAUUUCGAAAUCUAGAAUGAGAAGCAUUACUAUACAUGGAUUGAGACACGAAUGAGAAUAAUUACUAUACAUGAAUUGAGACCCGAAUUUAGAAGCUUUUAUUGCCACUCUAGCCAACCUUGCAUCAUGGCAAUAAAAAGCCUCUAAAUUCGGAUAUCAAUCUAUGUUUAAUAAUUCUUCUCAUUCCAGAUUUCAAAAUUUUACUCACGAUAGAAAGAGUUAAUUCAUUAAAAUACUGACUUACCAUCAUUUUUUUCUUGAGCAAUAGAGAGCAGCUCGUUUUUCAAAAGUUACAAUCUCAGAUCAUUUUAUUUGAGAAUAGUAAGGCCAAAGUGUCCCAUAUUUCUUUUGGCGUAUUUUUUGUCUUUUAUGUGCACCAAUAAAUCUUCCUCGAUUGUUGUUUUUAUAACGAACAUAGCCUUGCCCGCUUUAAUGUUCCACUUCUUCAGAGUUCUGACUUUCUCUAACAAUGUCACAUCAUUUCCGCCAACUAGGUCCCGUAAAUCUUGCCCUUAGAGGUAUAACUCUAUGCAAGUUUGCCACGCUUUAUGUUGAUUUUUAGGCUUUUUCAAUCCGCCUCACUUCGCAAGUCGUCCAUAGUGAUUUGAAUAACCUCCUCGUUAUCAAACAAGCUUCUAUAGAACUCCACAAUCUCAUUGGGCACAAGCUCCGAAAUCUCAAAAAUCCAUCCUCGAUUGCCUCACUCUGAUAUUGAAUUUAAUACUUAAAAAGAUCUCUUUUAUUAAUAUAAAAUCUCUUAUAAAACAUUGAACACAAACAAAAAUGCC